rnacentral:lncRNA from 1 species
CGAGAGGGACGUCUGUCUAAAGAAGAGGUGUCAUCAAGCAAGAAGUAUGAGAAAAGUUUCUCCAGAAAGAAGGAAGGUGAAACAAAUGCAGUGUCAGUAGGGUGGCAGAGGAGGCCUCAUAUCAAAAGAAAUCCACAACCGCGUCAGCAUCAUCACCAAGUUUUAUCAGUUAUUCCAGUAUUUUCUAACAAUCAGUCAAUGUCAG